GAUGAACGCUAGCGGCAGGCCUAACACAUGCAAGUCGAGGGGUAGAAGGAGCUUGCUCCUUUGAGACCGGCGCACGGGUGCGUAACGCGUAUGCAAUCUACCUUUUACAGAGGGAUAGCCCAGAGAAAUUUGGAUUAAUACCUCAUAGUAUAUAUCAUUCGCAUGUUUGGUAUAUUAAAGUUCCAACGGUAAAAGAUGAGCAUGCGUCCCAUUAGUUAGUUGGUAAGGUAACGGCUUACCAAGACGAUGAUGGGUAGGGGUCCUGAGAGGGAGAUCCCCCACACUGGUAAUGAGACACGGACCAGACUCCUACGGGAGGCAGCAGUGAGGAAUAUUGGUCAAUGGACGCAAGUCUGAACCAGCCAUGCCGCGUGCAGGAAGACGGUCCUAUGGAUUGUAAACUGCUUUUGUACGGGAAGAAACACUCCUACGUGUAGGAGCCUGACGGUACCGUAAGAAUAAGGAUCGGCUAACUCCGUGCCAGCCGCCGCCGUAACAC
rnacentral:rRNA from 1 species